rnacentral:rRNA from 1 species
GGGGAGAAAUUAAUAUUAUAUAAGUAAUAAAAAAAUUUUUAAUUAAAAUAUUGAAUUGGGGGGUUUAAGUAUUUUUAAGAGAAAAAAUUUAUUAUUUUAUAGUAUAUUAGUAUUGUAAAAGAAUUUUGAAAAAAAAAAUGAAAAUAAAUUUAAUUGAAAGUAAAUUUGACUUAUUGUAUCUUGUGUAUCAGAGUUUAUUAAAUAAAAGUUAUAUAAAUAAAAAUCUCGAAUUUAAAAGAGAUAAUUAAUUAUAAAAGUUAAUGUUUUAAAAUUAUUUUUAAUAAUUAAUUUGAAAUGAAAUGUUAAUCGUUUUUAAAUAUAUCUAGUUUUUUUAGAAAAAAAUUUAAUUUUAAAUAAUUUUUAUAUAAUUUUUUUUUAAAAAAAAAUUAUAAAAAUUUAUUUUAUAGUUUGGGGGAUAAGCUUUAAAUUAAAUUUUUAUAAUAAAAUUAAUUUAAAUAAAAUUUUUAAAAUUUACAUUUUUUAUAAAUUAUAAUUUUUUAUAAAUAAUUUUAUUUUAUUUAAAAUUUAAUUUAAUAUUUAAAUAUUUAUAAAAAAAUAAUUUUUAAUGGGGGGUAAAUUAGAAAUAAUGAUAAAAUUAGUAUAAAAAUUUGUUAAAUAAUAAGAUUUUAUAAAAUUUAAAUAAAGGAAUUCGGCAAAUAU